rnacentral:rRNA from 1 species
UCCUACGGGGGCAGCAGUAGGGAAUUUUCGUCAAUGGGCGCAAGCCUGAACGAGCAAUGCCGCGUGAGUGAGGAAGGUCUUCGGAUCGUAAAGCUCUGUUGCGGGGGAAAAAGGACAGGAAGAGGAAAUGCUUUCUGUUUGAUGGUACCCCGCCAGAAAGUCACGGCUAACUACGUGCCAGCAGCCGCGGUAAUACGUAGGGGGCAAGCGUUAUCCGGAUUUACUGGGUGUAAAGCGCUCGUAGGCGGGAUGUCAAGUCAAGGGUGAAAUCCCCGCGCUCAACGUGGGAACUGCCUU